rnacentral:rRNA from 1 species
UGGGGAAUAUUGCACAAUGGGCGCAAGCCUGAUGCAGCCAUGCCGCGUGUAUGAAGAAGGCCUUCGGGUUGUAAAGUACUUUCAGCGGGGAGGAAGGCGAUAAGGUUAAUAACCUUGUCGAUUGACGUUACCCGCAGAAGAAGCACCGGCUAACUCCGUGCCAGCAGCCGCGGUAAUACGGAGGGUGCAAGCGUUAAUCGGAAUUACUGGGCGUAAAGCGCACGCAGGCGGUAUGUCAAGUCGGAUGUGAAAUCCCCGGGCUCAACCUGGGAACUGCAUUCGAAACUGGCAGGCUAGAGUCUUGUAGAGGGGUGUAGAAUUCCAGGUGUAGCGGUGAAAUGCGUAGAGAUCUGGAGGAAUACCGGUGGCGAAGGCGGCCCCCUGGACAAAGACUGACGCUCAGGUGCGAAAGCGUGGGGAGCAAACA